UGUGGUUGGUACAGACUGUGU
rnacentral:misc_RNA from 1 species